rnacentral:tRNA from 1 species
GGUUCUUUAGCUUAGUGGGUUAAAGUCCUCCCCCCGCUCAUAAGGGGGGGACCGCUGGUUCGAAUCCAGCAAGAACCA